rnacentral:lncRNA from 1 species
UUCAAAGUCCCUUCAACCUUAGGGACAGACACAUCAAAAUCUCCUUUUACUUUGGGUCCUUUCAAAUCCAGGUCAACAUCAGGUAUGGAGAUCUUGGGAGCUUUGAUAUUUAUUUCAGGCAUCUUGAACUUGGGGCCCUUUAGUUUCGCAUCUGGACCUUCGAUAUUCACAUCAGGAACAUCAACGUCCACUUUGGGUCCUGAGACAUCAAUGUCAGCCUUGGGCAGGUUCACAUCCACAUCUGGGCCCUCUCCUUUGAAGCCAGGCAUGCUGAACUUGGGCAUUUUCACUUUGGGCAUUUUUAAGUGCCAGUCUGGGCCUUGAACGUCCACAUCUGGGCCCUCUCCUUUGAAGCCAGGCAUGCUGAACUUGGGCAUUUUCACCUUGGGCAUCUUCAGGUGCCAGUCUGGGCCAUGAACAUCCACAUCUGGGGCAUCAAUGUCCACUUUGGGCCCUCUGAUGUCAACAUCUGGCACUUUCAUUUCACCUUCUAC